rnacentral:lncRNA from 1 species
GUCCUGGGGUUUCUGGGAUGUGCGUCUGACAGAAAAAAUUCAGGACUUAUGGGAAGCCUCUAGCCUUCUAAAAUGGCAAACAGAAGCCAGCCUGAUCAUUUGUGUGUGUUAAUUCCCUGUAAACAAAUUUUGUUUAGGUUACCUGAUGGAUUUUAAUAUUUGCAAUGCAGAUUGCAUGAAUUAAGACUGAUGGUUCCUCAUUUUUAUGCAUUUGACGUAGUGAGUUUACCAUUUUAAUGUACGACGUCACUGAUCUUCUGGGUGCUUAGAAAUCAUCAGUGUCUCUGAAGAGUGACAGUGAACAGGAAUAUGGUCAUUUCAGUGAAGUUCUAUUGAAUUGCCUAUAUCAUUCAGGAGUUUCUUCUGAGGAGUUUAGGAGGUACGAGUGCUUCAGAGCGAAACUGCAGGAAAGGGAAUAUUCCAGGAUCCAAAGGGUUAUCAACUGCCUGCGAUGCACUUAUUUUUGCUUCACUUUCUACCUUUAAAACUAUACCCACUUGUCAAAAACGAAGAAGCUUGUUUGUCGAAGUGAAGCUCACAUCAGCUCCUGGAAAAUCAACAGUGACUUAAGGCACUUAGCUUUACAAGUCAAGGCUUUUGAAACAUAGAUAUCUCAUUUGUAAAAGUUUGGAUAUUAAAAUGUCAUUUAAACUAC